UGGGGAAUAUUGCACAAUGGGCGCAAGCCUGAUGCAGCCAUGCCGCGUGUAUGAAGAAGGCCUUCGGGUUGUAAAGUACUUUCAGCGAGGAGGAAGGCGGUAAGGUUAAUAACCUUAUCGAUUGACGUUACUCGCAGAAGAAGCACCGGCUAACUCCGUGCCAGCAGCCGCGGUAAUACGGAGGGUGCAAGCGUUAAUCGGAAUUACUGGGCGUAAAGCGCACGCAGGCGGUCUGUCAAGUCGGAUGUGAAAUCCCCGGGCUCAACCUGGGAACUGCAUUCGAAACUGGCAGGCUAGAGUCUUGUAGAGGGGGGUAGAAUUCCAGGUGUAGCGGUGAAAUGCGUAGAGAUCUGGAGGAAUACCGGUGGCGAAGGCGGCCCCCUGGACAAAGACUGGCGCUCAGGUGCGAAAGCGUGGGGAGCAAACA
rnacentral:rRNA from 1 species